GAUGAACGCUGGCGGCGUGCCUAAUACAUGCAAGUCGAGCGAACAGACGAGGAGCUUGCUCCGCUGACGUUAGCGGCGGAGGUGUGAGUAACGCGUGGAAAACCUACCUAUAAUACUGGGAUAACUUCGGGAAACCGGCGCUAAUACCGGAGAAUCUAUUGAACCGCAUGGUUCAAUAGUGAAAUACGGUUGUUCUGUCUCGUAUCGAUGGAUCCGCGCCGCAUGAGAUAGUUGGUACGGUAACGGCCUAGCAAGGCGAGGAGGCGUAGACGACGUGUGAGGCGGGUAGGCCACAUGAGAGGGUGGACGCGGUCCAUGGUCCUAAGGGAGGCAGCAGUCGGGAAUCGGCCGCAACGGGCGGAAGCCUUACGGAGCGGCGGCACGUGAGUGACGACGGCGCCCGGAGCGGAAAACUCUGUUACGAGGGAAGAACCACUGUGUAAGUAACUAUGGAGGGCUUGACGGUAAUGAGUCAGAAAGCCACGGCUAACUACGUG
rnacentral:rRNA from 1 species